ACAACAAAAGCAUUUUUUCUGAUGCUCAAAAAGUAUUAAUCUACUUGAGCUAAAUCAUAAGUAUACAUAGCACUGAACUCAAUAAGAACUACAUGCAUUAGGCUUUAAAAAGGGUGUGUGUGGGAUUUCCACUUCUUGCCAUGAUGAAGCAACAGCAGAAGACAGGCAGGCAGGCCCAGGAUCCCAGAAAAAAGAAAAAAAUGGAGUUUCAGGUCACAGUACGAUCCCAAAACAGAACUCAGAGGUCUUAGUAAGUUGAGGAGAUGGAACCAGAAAUUCAGAGGCUAAUGACCAUCUCUGGUGUGAAAUACUGGAAACAGCUGAUAGAGAACUAGCGGCAUGUGCAGCAGAGUCACCUUGAAGCAGGCAGAGAAUCUACCCAAAAACAGUAACCAAAGGCUACAAAAAGAACCACCUGAAAAGAGUAGAUCGAAAAACCUCUGAAAUAAACAGAAAGAUGGCAAGUUUGUACAGAGAAGAUCUCCUACUAAACAGGCGAUUGGGUACUCUGGUCUUGGAAGUAUGUGCUGCCUUAAAAGAGGUAAAAAGUGUCCUAAAGUGUGUUCUGGAUCCAAUUUAAAACAAAACAAAAGUUUAAAGCAAGUCUUUUUUUUUUAAUUUUUAUUUAUUUAUGAUAGUCACACAGAGAGAGAGAGAGAGAGAGAGAGGCAGAGACACAGGGAGAGGGAGAAGCAGGCUCCAUGCACCGGGAGCCCAAUGUGGGAUUUGAUCCCAGGUCUCCAGGAUCGCGCCCUGGGCCAAAGGCAGGAGCUAAACCGCUGCGCCACCCAAGGAUCCCCUGAAAGCAAGUCUUGAAUAUAACAAAACAAAAGUUGAAAGCAAGUCUUGAAUAUAUCAAACCAACAUGCAAGGAUUUACUGAAUCCCAGAAAAACGUCCCCCAAUUUAAAAUACAAUAAAAACUUGCACCCAAAUAUAGGACUCAAAUCCCGAAAAGGACAGGUGAAUGAGGCACAGUUAUAGUUGGAUAAGAUAUUUCUUUCUCAAUCAUUAAUAGUACAUGGAGAUGAAUACAUAAUGAUAUAGAUAGAGAAGACUUGUGGCAAUAUAGCUGCUUGAAUUAAUUCUCACCUAUAGAACACUAGGUCUAAAAACAAAAUACAUCUUUUUAUGUACACAUGGAACAGAGACCAGGAUUAUAUACUGGUUCUUAACAAAAGUCUUCGUAAAUUAAAAAGGACUGACAACACAGGGUAUGUUAUCUAAAUAAGAACAGCUAAAUUAAAAAUCUAUAACAUGUUGACUGCUGGCUGGUGCAGCAUGUAAGGAGCUCAGAAGUUGCCAUUCCAUCCUAACAAGUAGAAGGUAAAUAAACUGAAAAAUCAACAAACACUCUUAGACCUAUCUCAGCAAUCAGGUCAUAGGGCAAACGAGCAUGCCAAAACUUGGAGAGAUGCUUUUUUUUUUUUUUUAAAGUUACAACUACAUGCUGUCUACAGAAGACUCACUUCCGCUCUAAGGACACAGACUGAGAGUGAAGGGAUGCAAAAAAGAUGCUCCGUGUAAAUAGAAUUAAAAAGAAAAUAGGAAUAGCUGUACUUAAACAAAACAGACUUUAAAACAAAGACUAACAAGAAACAAAGAAAAAAAAAGAAACAAAGAAGGUAAUUAUAUAAUAAGGGAUCAAUCCAACAAGAGGAUAUAACAUUUGUAAGCAUUUAUGACCCACACAGGGGUACCUAAUAAUAUACAGAAAUUAAUAGAUCCGAUGGUAAAAACAGGAAUACAGUAAUCAUUUGGGACUGCAAUAUACCACCUACAACAAUGGACAAAUCAUCCAGGGAGAAAAUCAAUAAGGAAACAUAAGACAAACUACAUGUUAUACCAAAUGGACUUAAUAGACAUUUAUAAAACAUUCCACCUAAAAGCAGCAAAAUACAUAUUCUUCUCAGGUGCACUUGGAAACAUUCUCCAGGAUACAUCAUAUGUCAGGCCACAAAACAAAUCUUAAUAAAUUUAAGAAGACUGAAAUCACAUUAAGAAUAUUCUCUGACCACACAGUAUAAAACUAGAAAUAAACUGCAAUUACUCUAGACAAUGCACAAAUAUGUGGGUAUUAAAUGACAUGCUACUAACCAAUGGGGCAAAGAAGAAAUAAUAUGAGAAAUCAAAAAAAUAUCUUGAGACAAAUGAAAAUGGAAAUACAACAUGUUAAAACUUAUGAGACAUGGCAAAAGUAGUUUAAAGAGAGGAAUUCAUGAUGAUAAAUGCCUACAUUAAUGAACAGAAAGAUUUCAUAUAAGCAAUUUCACUUUACCCUUUAAGGUAAUAAAAAAAAAAAAACAGAAUGGAAAUAAAUGACAUAGAAACUAAAAAGACAACAGAAAAGACCAACAAAACUAAGACCUGGUCUUUACAAAAACAAAUAAAAUAGACAAAUCUGCAGCUACACUCAUCAGGAUACUGAGAGAGAGGAUGCAAAUAAAUAAAUUUAGAAAUGAAAGAGAGGGGCACCUAGAUGGCUCAGCUGGUUAA
rnacentral:lncRNA from 1 species